GAUUUCAACUCAAAAAGUCAUCAACAACAAAGUUGUAUAACUUAUCAAGAUCUAUAACUUUUAUUUUAGUCAUUUCUUCAUCUGACAAAGCGAUAGUAACAUUGUUUACAAAAUUAGCAUAUCUCGCAUAAGGUUUCAUAAGCUAUAAGAGAAAUAUGCAAAUUUUGUAAACAAUAUUACUAUCACUUUGUUGGAUGAAGAAAUGACCAAAAUAAAAGUUGUAGCUCUUGAUGAGUUCUACAACUUUUAUGUUCAUGAUAUUUUCAGCUGAAAUU
rnacentral:pre_miRNA from 1 species